GGGAUAAAGCUCGCAAUGAGUGUGCAAAGGAAGACCUUUACUACCCACACCCUCUAGUACAAGAUAUCAUGUGGGCAACUCUUCACAAGGUUGUAGAACCUAUUUUGAUGCACUGGCCGGGGAAAAGAUUGAGGGAAAAAGCUCUGCGCACCGUGAUGGAGCACAUUCAUUAUGAAGAUGAAAACACUCGUUACAUAUGCAUAGGACCUGUAAACAAGAUUAUAAAUAUGCUUUGCUGCUGGGUUGAAGAUCCUAAUUCAGAAGCUUUCAAGUUGCAUCUUCCAAGAAUUCAUGAUUAUAUGUGGGUUGCUGAAGAUGGCAUGAAAAUGAAGGGGUACAAUGGAAGUCAAUGUUGGGAUACAUCAUUUGCAGUUCAAGCAAUCAUUGCGACAGGGUUUGGCGAAGAAUAUGGAUCAACAUUGAGAAAAGCACAUUCAUUCUUAACAAAUACACAAGUGUUAGAUAAUUGCCCUGGUGAUCUAGAUUUCUGGUAUCGUCAUAU
rnacentral:misc_RNA from 1 species